rnacentral:rRNA from 1 species
GAUGAACGCUGGCGGCGUGCCUAAUACAUGCAAGUCGAGCGUACAGACGAGGAGCUUGCUCCUCUGACGUUAGCGGCGGACGGGUGAGUAACACGUGGAUAACCUACCUAUAAGACUGGGAUAACUUCGGGAAACCGGAGCUAAUACCGGAUAAUAUAUUGAACCGCGUGGUUCAAUAGUGAAAGACGGUUUUGCUGUCACUUAUAGAUGGAUCCGCGCCGCAUUAGCUAGUUGGUAAGGUAACGGCUUACCAAGGCAACGAUGCGUAGCCGACCUGAGAGGGUGAUCGGCCACACUGGAACUGAGACACGGUCCAGACUCCUACGGGAGGCAGCAGUAGGGAAUCUUCCGCAAUGGGCGAAAGCCUGACGGAGCAACGCCGCGUGAGUGAUGAAGGUCUUCGGAUCGUAAAACUCUGUUAUUAGGGAAGAACAAAUGUGUAAGUAACUAUGCACGUCUUGACGGUACCUAAUCAGAAAGCCACGGCUAACUACGUG